CUUUAUUUGGAAAUUUCUUUUGAUAAACUGGACUGGCGUAAGAAAUAGCGGUAUGAUAUAGGGAGGUGAUUGGAUGUAUAAAGUUCUUCUCGUAUUCCAGGAACCACACUGAGACAAGUCUACUGGACUCCAACAGAUUCUGAUUAACACCUUGGUCAUUCAACUAGACUGGAGAGCAGCCUUGGCCUGAUAAAUUGUUAAUCUAACUGGAUGUUGGAGACUUAGAUACUUGUUGUUUAUUGACGUGAUAAACAGAAGACUGUGACCUUGUAUCUGAAGAUCUGUGAAGGAGGCCGGACGUUUAUGGUCACUCUCUAUUACAGUACUACAUAUCUAACAGUGUAACACUCAGCCACAAAGAGGUUGUCUCUGAUGUCCACACAUAAACCUAAUGGAGACUCUAAAUGACAGUGAAUGUAACGGAGGAACUGUCCGUCCUGAUCUAGGAUGUGGAUACGGUGAUUGUUAAUGUCUGCUGUCAGGAUGUGACUCUGGCUGUCUGUAGUGAUGCCGCGUGGAUUAAAUGAUUGCUUGGUAUUAGAGGGAUGACCAGUGUAUUUAAAUCGGAGUUUUCCUGACUGAUUGACCACCACUACUACACUAGUGUCAGCCACACAGAUAUCCAGGUUCCUGUUUUCACUGAUGUAUUGAUAUAAACCAUGAGAUGAAUAGAGAGGAUGACCCUGAUCAUCAAACUGAAUGCUUUGUUUCUCUGUGGAGCCGGAGUAACGCAUGACUUUGGAUGGUUUUAUAUCAUCACUGUGCAUGGUAACCAGGAGAUCGUUACACGCGGUACUGCAGACAUUGUGAGGUCUCCAUCCCUGUAGUGUGAUCACGGAAUCAUGAUUUUGGGAGGAAUGUCUUCUGAGGGGUCCAUGAAAAAGCCCCGCCCUACAUACCAGUGAACAAAGAAUGGAAGAAACCUCAAACAUUAUAGAAUCAUUGAAAUAAAGAAUCAUUUCCAGAC